CAACAUGAGAGUUUGAUCCUGGCUCAGAACGAACGCUGGCGGCAGGCUUAACACAUGCAAGUCGAGCGCCCCGCAAGGGGAGCGGCAGACGGGUG
rnacentral:rRNA from 1 species